CCCUUAGAUGUUCUGGGCCGCACGCGCGCUACACUGAACAGUUCAACAAGUCUUAACCUUGGCCGAUAGGUCUGGGUAAUCUUUGAACGCUGUUCGUGAUUGGGAUAGACCUUUGCAAUUAUGGGUCUUCAACAAGGAAUUCCUAGUAAACGCAAGUCAUCAGCUUGCAUUGAUUACGUCCCUGCCCUUUGUACACACCGCCCGUCGCACCUACCGAUUGAAUGGUCCGGUGAAAUCUCGGGACGGCGGCUUGGUCGCUUGCGUCCGACUGCUGAAACUUGAUUAAACCAUAUCAUUUAGAGGAAGGUGAAGUCGUAACA
rnacentral:rRNA from 1 species